AUAAGUCUGCGUAAACCCAAACACUUUGAUCAUCUCAUCAAAUCGAAUGUUCCAACUCCGAGAUGCUUGCAUCAGCCCAUAGAUUGAGCGUUGGAGCUUGCACACCUUGUCAGCAUUCUUAGGAUUGACAAAACCUUCCGGCUGCAUCAUAUACAAUUCUUCCUUAAAGAAACCAUUAAGGAAUGUCGUUUUGACGUCCAUUUGCCAUAUCUCAUAAUCAUAGAAUGCGGCAAUUGCUAACAUAAUUCGGACGGACUUCAGCUUCGCUACGGGUGAGAAAGUCUCAUCGUAGUCAACCCCUUGAACUUGUCGAUAACCCUUAGCGACAAGCCGAGCCUUAUAGAUGGUCACAUUACCAUCCGCGUCUGUCUUCUUCUUAAAGAUCCAUUUAUUUUCUAUGGCUCGCCGAUCAUCGGGCAAGUCAGUCAAAGUCCAUACUUUGUUUUCAUACAUGGAUCCUAUCUCGGAUUUCAUGGCUUCCAGCCAUUUGUCGGAAUCUGGGCCCGCCAUUGCUUCUUCAUAGUUCGAAGGUUCACCAUUGUCUAACAACAUGAUUUCGAGGACACGGUUGCCGUACCACUCUGGUGCGGAACGUGUCCUUGUGGACCUACGAAGUUCAGUAGCAACUUGAUCUGAAGUUUCAUGAUCAUCAUCAUUAACUUCCUCUCUAGUCGGUGUAGGCACCUCAGAAAUAUUUUCUUGAGCUGCGCCACUCUCCGGUUCAAGAGGCAAUACUUCAUCAAGUUCUACUUUCCUCCCACUUACUUCUUUCGAGAGAAACUCUUUCUCUAGAAAGGAUCCAUUCUUGGCAACAAAGAUCUUGCCUUCGGAUCUGAGGUAGAAGGUAUACCCAAUAGUUUCCUUAGGGUAUCCUAUGAAGACGCAUUUUUCCAAUUUUGGGUUCGAGCUUUUCAGGUUGAAGUUUCUUGACAUAAGCAUCGCAUCCCCAAACUUUCAGAAAUGACAGCUUAGGUUUCUUACCAAACCACAAUUCAUACGGUGUCGUCUCAACGGAUUUUGACGGAGCCCUAUUUAAAGUGAAUGCGGCAGUCUCUAUAGCAUAACGCCAAAAUGAUAGCGGUAGAUCGGUAAGAGACAUCAUAGAUCGUACCAAUAGAGUGUGAUUACGACGAUCGGACACACCAUUACGCUGAGGUGUUCCAGGCGGCGUGAGUUGUGAAACAAUUCCGCAUUUCCUUAAGUGCGUGCCAAAUUCGUGACUCAAAUAUUCUCCCCCACGAUCUGAUCGGAAGAACUUGAUUUUCCUGUCACGUUGAUUCUCAACUUCACUCUGAAAUUCCUUGAACUUUUCAAAGGUCUCAGACUUGUCUUUCAUUAAGUAGAAAUACCCAUAUCUACUGAAGUCAUCAGUGAGGGUGAGAACAUAACGAUAGCCACCGCGAGCCUCAACACUCAUUGGACCGCACACAUCGGUAUGUAUGAUUUCCAAUAAGUUGGUUGCUCGCUCCAUUGUUCCGGAGAACAGAGUCUUGGUCAUUUUGCCCAUGAGGCAUGGUUCGCACGUGUCAAAUGAUUCAUAAUCAAGAGAUUCCAAAAGUCCAUCUGCAUGGAGUUUCUUCAUGCCUUUGACACCAAUGUGACCAAGGUGACAGUGCCACAAGUAUGUGGGACUAUCAUUAUCAACCUUACAUCUUUUGGCAUUCACACUAUGAAUAUGUGUAACAUCAUGUUCGAGAUUAAAUAAGAAUAAACCAUUGACCAGCAGAGCAUGACCAUAAAACAUGUCUCUCAUAUAAAUAGAACAACCAUUAUUCUCAUAUUUAAAUGAGUAGCCAUUUUGCAUUAAACGAGAUCCAGAUACAAUGUUCAUACUCAAAGCUGGUACUAAAUAACAAUUAUUGAGGUUUAAAACUAAUCCUGUAGGUAAAUGUAGAGGUAGCGUGCCAACGACGAUCACAUCGACCUUGAAACCAUUCCCGACACGCAUCGUCACCUCGUCCUUCACCAGUCUCCGUUUAUUCCGCAGCUCCUGUUUUGAGUUACAAACUAGAUCAUUAAUGGCGCGCGUUGCCGCGCCCAUCCCUUUCUUCAAUGUAAUAUCAAUUUAUUUACUUAGAUAUAUGAUAUGCGUGAGGGCCAAUCUAUAUGUCACAAAUUUAAGAAUGAUCGUGCAGACAAAGAAACAACUACAGUCACAUCUUUGCAGGCACUAUCAAUGAAUAGUCAUUCAUGUGCAAGAGAUGUCAAACUGUACAAUAUA
rnacentral:rRNA from 1 species